GGUUAAGCGACUAAGCGUACACGGUGGAUGCCCUGGCAGUCAGAGGCGAUGAAGGACGUGCUAAUCUGCGAUAAGCGUCGGUGAGGUGAUAUGAACCGUUAUAACCGGCGAUUUCCGAAUGGGGAAACCCAGUGUGUUUCGACACACUAUCAUUAACUGAAUCCAUAGGUUAAUGAGGCGAACCGGGGGAACUGAAACAUCUAAGUACCCCGAGGAAAAGAAAUCAACCGAGAUUCCCCCAGUAGCGGCGAGCGAACGGGGAGGAGCCCAGAGCCUGAAUCAGUGUGUGUGUUAGUGGAAGCGUCUGGAAAGGCGCGCGAUACAGGGUGACAGCCCCGUACACAAAAAUGCACAUAUUGUGAGCUCGAUGAGUAGGGCGGGACACGUGGUAUCCUGUCUGAAUAUGGGGGGACCAUCCUCCAAGGCUAAAUACUCCUGACUGACCGAUAGUGAACCAGUACCGUGAGGGAAAGGCGAAAAGAACCCCGGCGAGGGGAGUGAAAAAGAACCUGAAACCGUGUACGUACAAGCAGUGGGAGCCUCUUAAUGGGGUGACUGCGUACCUUUUGUAUAAUGGGUCAGCGACUUAUAUUCUGUAGCAAGGUUAACCGAAUAGGGGAGCCGAAGGGAAACCGAGUCUUAACUGGGCGUUAAGUUGCAGGGUAUAGACCCGAAACCCGGUGAUCUAGCCAUGGGCAGGUUGAAGGUUGGGUAACACUAACUGGAGGACCGAACCGACUAAUGUUGAAAAAUUAGCGGAUGACUUGUGGCUGGGGGUGAAAGGCCAAUCAAACCGGGAGAUAGCUGGUUCUCCCCGAAAGCUAUUUAGGUAGCGCCUCGUGAAUUCAUCUCCGGGGGUAGAGCACUGUUUCGGCAAGGGGGUCAUCCCGACUUACCAACCCGAUGCAAACUGCGAAUACCGGAGAAUGUUAUCACGGGAGACACACGGCGGGUGCUAACGUCCGUCGUGAAGAGGGAAACAACCCAGACCGCCAGCUAAGGUCCCAAAGUCAUGGUUAAGUGGGAAACGAUGUGGGAAGGCCCAGACAGCCAGGAUGUUGGCUUAGAAGCAGCCAUCAUUUAAAGAAAGCGUAAUAGCUCACUGGUCGAGUCGGCCUGCGCGGAAGAUGUAACGGGGCUAAACCAUGCACCGAAGCUGCGGCAGCGACGCUUAUGCGUUGUUGGGUAGGGGAGCGUUCUGUAAGCCUGUGAAGGUGUGCUGUGAGGCAUGCUGGAGGUAUCAGAAGUGCGAAUGCUGACAUAAGUAACGAUAAAGCGGGUGAAAAGCCCGCUCGCCGGAAGACCAAGGGUUCCUGUCCAACGUUAAUCGGGGCAGGGUGAGUCGACCCCUAAGGCGAGGCCGAAAGGCGUAGUCGAUGGGAAACAGGUUAAUAUUCCUGUACUUGGUGUUACUGCGAAGGGGGGACGGAGAAGGCUAUGUUGGCCGGGCGACGGUUGUCCCGGUUUAAGCGUGUAGGCUGGUUUUCCAGGCAAAUCCGGAAAACCAAGGCUGAGGCGUGAUGACGAGGCACUACGGUGCUGAAGCAACAAAUGCCCUGCUUCCAGGAAAAGCCUCUAAGCAUCAGGUAACAUCAAAUCGUACCCCAAACCGACACAGGUGGUCAGGUAGAGAAUACCAAGGCGCUUGAGAGAACUCGGGUGAAGGAACUAGGCAAAAUGGUGCCGUAACUUCGGGAGAAGGCACGCUGAUAUGUAGGUGAAGCGACUUGCUCGUGGAGCUGAAAUCAGUCGAAGAUACCAGCUGGCUGCAACUGUUUAUUAAAAACACAGCACUGUGCAAACACGAAAGUGGACGUAUACGGUGUGACGCCUGCCCGGUGCCGGAAGGUUAAUUGAUGGGGUUAGCGGUAACGCGAAGCUCUUGAUCGAAGCCCCGGUAAACGGCGGCCGUAACUAUAACGGUCCUAAGGUAGCGAAAUUCCUUGUCGGGUAAGUUCCGACCUGCACGAAUGGCGUAAUGAUGGCCAGGCUGUCUCCACCCGAGACUCAGUGAAAUUGAACUCGCUGUGAAGAUGCAGUGUACCCGCGGCAAGACGGAAAGACCCCGUGAACCUUUACUAUAGCUUGACACUGAACAUUGAGCCUUGAUGUGUAGGAUAGGUGGGAGGCUUUGAAGUGUGGACGCCAGUCUGCAUGGAGCCGACCUUGAAAUACCACCCUU
rnacentral:rRNA from 1 species